AUUGAACGCUGGCGGCAGGCCUAACACAUGCAAGUCGAGCGGAGCGGCGGACGGGUGAGUAAUGUAUGGGGAUCUGCCCGAUAGAGGGGGAUAACUACUGGAAACGGUGGCUAAUACCGCAUACUAUCGGAUGAACCCAUCUGGGAUUAGCUAGUAGGUGGGGUAAAGGCCUACCAAGGCGACGAUCCUUAACUGGUCUGAGAGGAUGAUCAGUCACACUGGAACUGAGACACGGUCCAGACUCCUACGGGAGGCAGCAGUGGGGAAUAUUGGACAAUGGGCGAAAGCCUGAUCCAGCCAGGCCGCGUGUGUGAAGAAGGUCGUCGGAUUGUAAAGCACUUUAAGUUGGGAGGCGUUACCAACAGAAUAAGCACCGGCUAACUUCGUGCCAGCAGCCGCGGUAAUAC
rnacentral:rRNA from 1 species